rnacentral:rRNA from 1 species
UUGAACGCUGGCGGCAUGCUUUACACAUGCAAGUCGAACGGCAGCGCGGGCUUCGGCCUGGCGGCGAGUGGCGAACGGGUGAGUAAUACAUCGGAACGUGCCCAGGAGUGGGGGAUAGCUCGGCGAAAGCCGGAUUAAUACCGCAUACGACCUGAGGGUGAAAGCGGGGGAUCUUCGGACCUCGCGCUAUUGGAGCGGCCGAUGGCAGAUUAGCUAGUUGGUGGGGUAAAGGCCUACCAAGGCGACGAUCUGUAGCUGGUCUGAGAGGACGACCAGCCACACUGGGACUGAGACACGGCCCAGACUCCUACGGGAGGCAGCAGUGGGGAAUUUUGGACAAUGGGCGAAAGCCUGAUCCAGCAAUGCCGCGUGUGUGAUGAAGGCCUUCGGGUUGUAAAGCACUUUUGGCGGGAACGAAAAGGACUGUGCCAAUACCACGGUUCGAUGACGGUACCCGCAGAAUAAGCACCGGCUAACUACGUG